CGGAGGAAAAGAAACCAACAGGGAUUGCCUCAGUAACGGCGAGUGAAGCGGCAAAAGCUCAAAUUUGAAAUCCCCCGGGAAUUGUAAUUUGAAGGACCUAUUAAAACCCUGAGAGAGCCCAAAGUCCAUUGGAAAAUGGCGCCAUAGAAGGUGAUAGCCCUGUGUGGACCUCUCUCAGCAUACUUUUUAGGCCCAAAGAGUCGAGUUGUUUGGGAAUGCAGCUCUAAGUGGGUGGUAAAUUCCAUCUAAAGCUAAAUAUUGGCGAGAGACCGAUAGCGAACAAGUACAGUGAUGGAAAGAUGAAAAGCACUUUGAAAAGAGAGUGAAAAAGUACGUGAAAUUGUUGAAAGGGAAGGGCUUGCAAGCAGACACAACCUCGGUUGGGCCAGCAUCGGGGCGGGGGGAAACAAAAAAGGUGUGGAAUGUGGCUCUUACGAGUGUUAUAGCCCCACCCAAUAUUUCCAUCCCAUCCCGAGGCCUGCGAUUCUUCAAGGAUGCUGGCGUAAUGGUUGCAAGUCGCCCGUCUUGAAACAACGGACC
rnacentral:rRNA from 1 species